rnacentral:rRNA from 1 species
AAGUCGUAACAAGGUCUCCGUUGGUGAACCAGCGGAGGGAUCAUUACAGAGUUGCAAAACUCCCUAAACCAUUGUGAACGUUACCUUUAUCGUUGCUUCGGCGGGCGGCGCUCCAGCGCCCCCGGGCCCCUCGCGGGGCGCCCGCCGGAGGUUUUAACUCUUGACAACUGUAUGGCCUCUCUGAGUCUAUGUACAUAAUAAGUCAAAACUUUCAACAACGGAUCUCUUGGUUCUGGCAUCGAUGAAGAACGCAGCGAAAUGCGAUAAGUAAUGUGAAUUGCAGAAUUCAGUGAAUCAUCGAAUCUUUGAACGCACAUUGCGCCCGCCAGUAUUCUGGCGGGCAUGCCUGUUCGAGCGUCAUUUCAACCAUCAAGCCCCCGGCUUGUGUUGGGGACCUGCGGCUGCCGCAGGCCCUGAAAACCAGUGGCGGGCUCGCUAGUCACACCGAGCGUAGUAACAUACAUCUCGCUCAGGGCGUGCUGCGGGUUCCGGCCGUUAGAAGCCUUUUUUACCCAAGGUUGACCUCGGAUCAGGUAGGAAGACCCGCUGAACUUA